rnacentral:rRNA from 1 species
UACAGAGGGGGCAAGCGUUGUUCGGAAUUACUGGGCGUAAAGGGCGCGUAGGCGGCCCGCUAAGUCGAACGUGAAAUCCCCGGGCUUAACCCGGGAACUGCGUCCGAUACUGGCAGGCUUGAAUCCGGGAGAGGGAUGUGGAAUUCCCAGUGUAGCGGUGAAAUGCGUAGAUAUUGGGAAGAACACCGGUGGCGAAAGCGCCUUGCUGGACCUGCACUGACACUGAGGGACGAAAGCUAGGGGAGCGAAAGGG